rnacentral:rRNA from 1 species
CAUGGCCGCCGUCAGUUCGUACCGUAAGGCGUUCUGUUAAGUCAGAUAACGAACGAGACCCUCGUCCUUAAUUGCCAACCCAUUCUCCGGAGUGGGCGCACAUUAAGGGGACCGCUGGCGCUAAGUCAGAGGAAGGAGAGGUCAACGGUAGGUCAGUAUGCCCCGAAUCUCCCGGGCUACACGCGCGCCACAAAGGACAGGACAAUGGGAUGCAAUACCGAGAGGUAACGCCAACCCGAAACCUGUUCGUAGUUCGGACUGAGGGCUGUAACUCGCCCUCACGAAGCUGGAUUCCGUAGUAAUCGCGGGUCAACAUCCCGCGGUGAAUAUGCCCCUGCUCUUU